GGCCAUGUGGCCCAAUGGCAAGGCGCUUGACUACGAUAACGCAGUAAUCAAGAGAUUCCAGGUUCGACCCCUGGCAUGGUCA